GCACGUUCAGAGCAGCAGUUGCAGCGGUUGACAGACCGGACAUGGAACCGCCAUUUAUCGCACGUUCUCGAUUCCCACAGAACAUACAAAAGGGAAAAUUGGAUGAAUUUCUCAAACUCACUUUUGUCUUCCGUACAAAACCCCCUCCUCCAUGCCUUUUCUGUAUGAUUUCUUCAUCUGCAACUGGCAAUCCGGAAAAUAAACGCUAGGAUUCACACAAAUCGGUGAGUAUUUCCCCCUCUUUAUUCAAUUUCCGUUUUGUUGUUGUCCCAUCGUUUGCACAUUGUUUUUUCUAUUUUUUCGUUUGGUGGCCUUAGGUACCUUCCAUUACUCUCUCUCUCUCUCUCUCUCUCUCUCUCUCUCUCUCUCUCUCUCUCUCAAACAUUGCACUGAGGAAGAAUACUCACUCUCAUAUUUUCUGUGCUUUCCUUGGUUUUUUGGGUUUGUUCAAGUUUUUAAUGGGUUUUGAGUUUAUUGUAGUCAAUUUUGGGUUUUGUAGAGUCGGAAAAUCGAAUACUAAGAAGCAGAGAAGGAGAUCAGUGAAGAAAAGGCAAGCAAAAGUAAAAGGUAAAAAACGUGAAUUAUUUUUUAUUAUUCUCAUUUUCCAAAAAACAAUUUUUUGAUAUUUUAUAAUUACUGUUUGGUUGCUGGGAAAAUUGGGUUACUGGGUAGCAAAUAAAUUUGAUUGUUUUGGACUUAUUGGGUCCCACCCAGAUUGAGAGAAAUGCGC
rnacentral:lncRNA from 1 species